ensembl:processed_transcript uncharacterized LOC115062509
CUCUUUGUGCGCCCGCCUGCUCUCAUAUCUGUCCGUUUCCACUUCGCUGCUCUCCACCGGUCUCGGCGUGGUCUGUGGAUUCCGGAGAGCAAGGCAUGCGUCGGCUUCGUGCCGCAGGUUCCUGGCCCACGCCAGCCGGACCCAGUAGCAUAAUGGGGUUUGAGAACAUACGCUGGCUGCCUACGCUUGAAGAAAGGGUGAUCUCUAGAGACUGCGCAGGGGCCCCGUCCCCUCACCUAGAUGUCGGCUAACCUUGGGAUCCAGACAAAGGUGGAAUCCUAGAAGUGACCUGGAUGGCCUAAUGAUCUCACGUCUGAGAGCCAGCCCUGAAAAGGGCUUUGCUCCUACUCACACUGGCAAGUUGGAUGCCUUUUUACUGCAUUGCUGUCAGCUAUCUGAACAUGAGUGGCUGUAGGGUGUAAGCUAUGCAUGCUGGCUGCCCUACGCCCGCCCAGACUGAACCAGGACCUCACUUGAACAUGAGUAUUAGACAAUGUAAAAACUUACCUUGCCCAGACUUGAUAUAACAGCUUGGAAAUGCAUAGUUUCGUGAAAGAGCCUAAUAAAAUACUUUUUAAAG